GCCAGCCGCUGGAAUCACAACAUAGAGGGGUGUGGCCGAUGAGGGUUCUGAAUCCUAGAGCUAUUUGACGCUCGAAAUCGCAGAUUCUGAGUUGUUCCGGACGCACUUGAGUUUCUCAUGGGGUGCUUAAAAGGGAGUGAGUGUUCGGCCACGCCAGGCUACUAUCUCCUUCAAUGUAUGCAUCAACAAAAAGUGUCUUUGACCACAACAGGAAGAAAAAAACCUAAUUAUCAAGAAGAGAAAAAGGACAGAAAAGGGCACAGAAUGAGAUAUACCUUUUAAGGGGAUGCUCUGAGUGACCUUCUUCUAAUCAGGUCCCUUCAUGACUACACUCUUCUCAAUUAAGGAUCCAUUGAUGGGCACUGGAGAUGUAGCUCAGCCUGGGCUACAUAGUCAGUUCCAAGGAAACCUGGGAUAGAUAGAUAGAUAGAUAGAUAGAUAGAUAGAUAGAUAGAUAGAUAGAAUCUCAGCACAUAGAUUUAAUUUGUAUAUUAGAAGGCACAGAGCUAAAAUACGAAAUUUCCCUCAUUCAAUUCCAAGAACAUGGCUACUUUCUCUACUGAAAGAAUGGAUGAAUAAAGUGGAAAUACCAUCUCUCAUAGUUACUUUUCUUCUGUUGUGAUACAAUACUAUGACAAGAAAACUUACAAAGAUUUUAAUUGGGUUUAUGAUUUUACAGGGUUAGAGUCUAUGAUGGCAGGGCAAAGGCCUGGUGACAGAACAGCUGACAUCUCAUGAUCUGAAAACAGAAGGCAGAGAGUGCACACUGGGAGUGGUGGGAGGUUUCUGAAGCUAAGUCUGCCGCCAUGACACAUCUCCCCCCCCCCAACAAGCCACACCUUUUAAUCCUUCCUGAACAGUUCUACCAACUGGGAAUCAAGUAUUCAAACAUUUGAGCCUAUGGGGACUAUUCUCAUUGAAACAACUACAUUGUCCUAGCCUUGUUAGCUUUCUCAACUCACAAAGCCAGACGUAAAGUCAGAUUGAAAUGCCAAGUCCAAAUUACCUCUUUCAUCCCAAAGCAAACCAGGGUGUCAUUCCAAAUCAUGCUACUUUGGCAUAAAGAUUAUCUUGAGCGAAGGCAACUGAACAGAACCACAUAUAAGAAAAUCUCCUGCCUUCCCACUGUUUGUACAAAAGCAGGAUAUAGGGUUUCAAGGCUUCCUCCCUCCCUUUCUACCAGAAAAGACAGAAGCUAAUCACCUGGAAGAACUUAUAUAAGAUUUUAUAUACUAUGUUAACCAUGAAACUCUCAUGUUUUGAUUUCCUGCAACUUGUUGCCUUUGGGAACUAAGAACUACCUUCUUC
ensembl:lncRNA